CCUACGGGAGGCAGCAGUGGGGAAUAUUGCACAAUGGGGGGAACCCUGAUGCAGCAACGCCGCGUGGGUGAAGAAGUACUCCGGUAUGUAAAGCCCUGUCAGCAGGGAAGAAAAUGACGGUACCUGACCAAGAAGCCCCGGCUAACUACGUGCCAGCAGCCGCGGUAAUACGUAGGGGGCAAGCGUUAUCCGGAUUUACUGGGUGUAAAGGGAGCGUAGACGGCAAGGCAAGUCUGGCGUGAAAGCCCGGGGCCCAACCACGGGACUGCUUUGGAAACUGUGUUGCUGGAGUGCAGGAGGGGUAAGCGGAAUUCCUAGUGUAGCGGUGAAAUGCGUAGAUAUUAGGCGGAACACCAGUGGCGAAGGCGGCUUACUGGACUGUAACUGACGUUGAGGCUCGAAUGCGUGGGGAGCAAACAGGAUUAGAUACCCUUGUAGUC
rnacentral:rRNA from 1 species